GAUGAACGCUGGCGGCGUGCCUAAUACAUGCAAGUCGAGCGAACAGACGAGGAGCUUGCUCCUCUGACGUUAGCGGCGGGCGGGUGAGUAACACGUGGAUAACCUACCUAUAAGACUGGGAUAACUUCGGGAAACCGGAGCUAAUACCGGAUAAUAUAUUGAACCGCAUGGUUCAAUAGUGAAAGACGGUUUUGCUGUCACUUAUAGAUGGAUCCGCGCCGCAUUAGCUAGUUGGUAAGGUAACAGCUUACCAAGGCAACGAUGCGUAGCCGACCUGAGAGGGUGAUCAGCCACACUGGAACUGAGACACGGUCCAGACUCCUACGGGAGGCAGCAGUAGGGAAUCUUCCGCAAUGGGCGAAAGCCUGACGGAGCAACGCCGCGUGAGUGAUGAAGGUCUUCGGAUCGUAAAGCUCUGUUAUUAGGGAAGAACAAAUGUGUAAGUAACUAUGCACGUCUUGACGGUACCUAAUCAGAAAGCCACGGCUAACUACGUG
rnacentral:rRNA from 1 species